CUGAAGCAGCAAAAACUGAAGCAAAAAAACUUCAACCAAUAUUCAAUUUCAAUGAGGAACAGUUCCCAAAUUUGCCAAAACAUUUCCUUUCCACGGAACUUGUAUUUAAUCUUGGUAGAAAACAAUUGGCAGAAUUGGCAGCAUCUGUUGGUCUGCAUCACAAUGAUUAGAACCAGAGUGGAGUAGGGGUGGAUGUGAUCAAUGAAGAGAUUGGAGAUGGAAUUUCUUCCUAAUUGUUGGCAAUUAUGUGAAGCUACAAAUGGUUUAGAAAUUGCAUUUGAAUGGACAAGACAACUAGAUAUGAUCAUCAUUUUCAUGGCUGUUAUAUGGUUCUUCAGAGGCAUAGAUGCCUACGAAGAUCAUAUCUGAUGCAUCAUACAAUUUUGCUGAUCACAGGGAGGAAGUUCCAUUUUCUUCUGAUAAAUGAUAAUAUCAGCCUAACGCUUCUACCUGUUUCAAGGGUAAACUCUCCACAUAACCGUUC
rnacentral:misc_RNA from 1 species